rnacentral:rRNA from 1 species
GACGAACGCUGGCGGCGUGCCUAACACAUGCAAGUCGAACGGAAAGGCCCUGCUUUUGUGGGGUGCUCGAGUGGCGAACGGGUAAGUAACACGUAAGUACCCUGCACCUGACUUUGGGAGAACUUCAGAAAACUGGGGCUCAUACCGGCUAGGAUCUCCUGCUGCAUGGUGGGGGUGGGAAAGUUUCGGCGGUUGGGGAUGGACUGGCGGCCUAUCAGCUUGUUGGUGGGGUAGUGGGUUACCAAGGCCUGGACGGGUAGCCGGCCUGAGAGGGUGACCGGCCACAUUGGGACGGAGAUACGGCCCAGACUCCUACGGGAGGCAGCAGUGGGGAAUAUUGCACAAUGGGCGGAAGCCUGAUGCAGCAACGCCGCGUGCGGGAUGACGGCCUUCGGGUUGUAAACCGCUUUCGCCUGUGACGAAGCGUGAGUGACGGUAAUGGGUAAAGAAGCACCGGCUAACUACGUG